rnacentral:tRNA from 1 species
GCGCCCUUAGCUCAGCUGGAUAGAGCAGCGGACUUCUAAUCCGCAGGUCGGAGGUUCGAGUCCUCCAGGGCGCGCCA